GGCCCCAUAGCUCAGCAGGAUAGAGCGCGGGAUUCCUAAUCCCGAGGCCAUUGGUUCGAAUCCAAUUGGGGUCA
rnacentral:tRNA from 1 species